rnacentral:rRNA from 1 species
CCUACGGGAGGCAGCAGUGAGGAAUAUUGGUCAAUGGGCGCGAGCCUGAACCAGCAAAGUAGCGUGAAGGAUGACUGCCCUACGGGUUGUAAACUUCUUUUAUAAAGGAGUAAAGUGAGGCACGUGUGCCUUUUUGUAUGUCCUUUAUGAAUGAGGAUCGUCUAACUCCGUGCCAGCGGCCGCGGUAAUACGGCGGAUCCGAGCGUUGUACGGGUUUAUUGGGUUUAAAGGGAGCGUAGGUGGGUGGUUAAGUCUGAUGUGAAAGUCUGCGGCUCAACCGUAUAACUGCAAUUGAUACUGGCUGUCUUGAGUACAGGUGAGGUAGGCGGAAUUCGUGGUGUAGCGGUGAAAUGCGUAGAUAUCACGAAGAACCCCGAUUGCGAAGGCAGCCUACUAAACUGCCACUGACAUUGAUGCUCGAAAGUGUGGGUAUCAAACAGGAUUAGAUACCCGAGUAGUC